UACGAAGGGGGCGAGCGUUGUUCGGAUUUACUGGGCGUAAAGGGCGCGCAGGCGGACCAUCAAGUCAGGCGUGAAAGCCCCGGGCUCAACCUGGGAACUGCGCCUGGGACUGAGGGUCUGGAGUUCGGGAGAGGAGCGUGGAAUUCCCAGUGUAGAGGUGAAAUUCGUAGAUAUUGGGAAGAACACCGGUGGCGAAGGCGGCGCUCUGGGACGGUACUGGACGCUGAGACGCGAAAGCGUGGGGAGCAAACAGGGAUUAAGAAACCCUUGGU
rnacentral:rRNA from 1 species